ACUGCAGAGAAGUUGGGUCAGAUUCUAAAGAGCUUUGAACCCUAAGAGAAAGAGCUGAGCCCUUAUCCUACAGGCUUGGGAGAUGGGUGGAGCCUAUGGCAGCUUUCAAGGGCACCUUUCUGACUCCUGACUAGGCAGAGCCAUUUCUCACUUCUUCCUGGCCAUGGUACCUGCUCACUGGUCAGUGUGAUGUACACAGUCCACGGGGUCUCUCUUCUCAUGAGUGUCGACCAUGGCAAGUGAUCACUAGAACCUCCCCCCACCCUGCUCUUCUUCCUGUCCCUCCACCUGGCCCACAUCUCUCUACCAGCAUAGAGUGGAUGGAGCUUCCUUAACAAAGCACUGCAAAUGAGUUGCUCAAACAGGGUCCUGGGCUUGUUCCACAGCUCAGGACACCGGAAAUCACCCAGCUACAUGGGGGGAGUGCCAUGAGAAACCCUGUCCCAAAAAAAUAUGGUGGAGAAUAAUUGAGAAAUGCAACAGGUUCCCAGAGGGUGGCACUGUUUGGUUAUGGAACCUUUCAGAUGGAAGGCGUGUCUGCUGGGGCUGAGUCAUUGGGGAUGGACCUUUGAGAGUCUGAGCCUGUUUCCUGUUUCCUGCUUCUUGACUGCUAAACUGUGACACCCACCUCAUGCUUCCACUGCAGAGACUGGAUCCCUCCCAGGACCACGAAUUCUGGCCACCAUGGACUGAAAACUCCUGAAAUCGUGAGCCUUCCUCUUAUGUGAACCUGUGAUCUCAAAGCUCCAGUUUCAAAGCCUCGUGGACCAGCCCUUGGCCUUUUGGACCGUGGGGCUCUAAACCAAGUGGCCUUUCCCACGGAUGGGUCCCCAUCUCACACCCCUGCACGGGUGCCAUCAUCCCAGGGGGUUUUAUCCUUCUGACAGAAGGGCACCCAAAUCCACGAUUCCAGAGAGAGGGAUGUGAGAGAGAGAACAAACUUCUGAUGAGGAUAGAUUCAUACUGAGGUAUCUGAUCUGCGACCCUCAAAGGGGUCACGAGGCACAGACUGAGCGCCGUUGUGGGUCAACAAGACUCGGGACCAGAGAGACAGGAAACGUCCUCCAAUCCCCAAAGCCUCUCCUCAGUGUCAAAAGCAGAAGGUCUGGCAUUAUCCACAACCUCCCAGAGCCCUGUCAUCAUCCUUCGGGCCAGCCAGCACGCCGCUCACAUCCAUCUGUGUCACUGAGAACAUCAUCCUUCAUGGUGACGGGUCUUCAAAAAUUAAAAACAAGCAUGGCCUGAGAGCACCGACUUGGCCAAGCAUGUGGAAAAAGUUGCAGGAAGCAGGAGCGAUGUCUCUCAAAGGCCUUUUCAGAUGGGGGGAAUAAACCAGGCUUUGCAAAGGAAGCAGGCUGGCCACUGAACGGGGCGCUGUGGAUGUCCCACACUGAGCAGGUCACACGUGUAACACAGGAAGUCCUCCGCGAGUGUGGCGGUGUGUGCGGAAGAACAAAUGCCAUCCUUGUGCAGGGUGAAGUCAUCUAUAAUGUGUGCUGGCUCAUGCCUGCAACCCCAGCCCUCGGGGGCAGAGGCAGGAGGAUUAUGAGUUUGAGGAAGGCCUGGUCUACCUAGUUUUAAGUACCCUGAGCUUAGAGUGAGACCCUGUCCCCAAAGAAACAAGAUAAAAUGAGAGCUUGUUUGUCAUGUCGCCCACUUCAUUUGGGUCGUUUUCCUGACUAAGAACAUUUGUCCCAAGAGGUUAAGGAUAAAAAAAAAAUUGUGCUACAUUGCUUCUCAAAGGCACCUUACAAAGCCCCUUCCCUUUGGCUGUCUCGGGGAAAUCGGAGAAUGUAUGAUAGUCUCUUAGCUCAGACUCCUUUACCGCCCAGUAUCUGCUGCUGGCUUGUAUAAGAAAAGGCUCACUGCCAUCCUUGAUACAACACACAUUAUUCCCCAUUA